CUUCACGGGCAGUUUUCAUGAUCUGGAACAUCAUUCGAAGUGCAGCAUUGUUCUUGGCAGACUUUCCUGAUCGGCCAAAACCUUGAACUGGUGAUUAAUUGAAUUGAAAACUUGGGUUACCAGAAAUCCCCAACUCUUCAAUAGUUACUCCGACAUGAAAAGCUCUUUUCUCCAGCAACACUUGAAUUACGAUAAAUGUUUGCAAUUGUGGCAGAUAGUAAGGAUGGAUGUUGAUCAAAAUUCGAAAUAAACACUGACUUACAACAGCUGUUUCUGUUUCGACGCGCCCUUUUUUUGGAUUCAGCAGUCAGCACACUCUAACGGCAAAAAGUUGCUUAUUGGUUGUCCCAUGCAUCAGAGUUUUGUUUGGUGGGUCUAAAGCUGAAAUUGAAGCUUGCAUCCUUCAGUAAGUACAAGUUAUAAUGGAAGUGUUACUGAUUUCAAAUUAACUAACUGUUUUUUUUAGUAGCACGCUUUUUGUUGUAGCUGUUUUUUUUAGUAGCUUGGGGGUGAUUAGCACAGCCGCUACUCUCUAGAAGGGGCUGCACUCCAAGCGGGUGUGUUACUCACUAAUGCAAAACACUUGGAAAAAUAUGCAAAAUUAGGGCCUAGAAUAACGGAUACGGCAUAGGACGACGAUGGGUUUAUGACCGUUUAGUAUGGUCUAAAAUGACCGUACUGCUGAUAAAGUGGGGUUUACGUAGAACAAUUAGUAAUUUGAAAUUUUUUAAAUGAGCACUGCUUAUACUUGCUUUUUGAAUAAGUGCUAAAAACCCGUACAAAAUCGUACUGUAGGAUCAUAUUUAAAUUUGCAAUUGAAAAUUGGAAAAUUGGAAAUGGGGGUUUAAUUGUAAAUAGUUUAUUGUUUUGAGUACAUGUAUAAGAAUAAUAGUUUCUAUUGAUUAGCUUCUACCAAUUUUAAUGUUCGUUCGCAGUUGGGCUUUUUAUUCUGCGUCUAUUGGCAUAUUGCUCAAGAAAACUUCUCGCUAAAACUGAUAAAUAAAAUAAUAAAGAAAUUAUGUUUUGACUUCAUGUUACAGUUGACACAUGAUUACUUGACUAGUGGUUUCAACUUUUAACUCUUAAUAUUUGAAAAAGACUCAUCGUGACUUUUCAUUCUCAUUCAAUGUUUCAUUGAUUUCAUGCAGGAUAUACAACUCUGAUAGUAUACAAAUCCCUUUAGCCUUUACUGUUUCUUAAACAAACUUGUGUAGUGCAUCUAUCGUCUGUAAGACAUGAAAUAUUACAUAUUUCCUGAGUGAAGUGAGAAUAAAUUGAUUAC